CCUACGGGUGGCAGCAGUGGGGAAUAUUGCACAAUGGUGGAAACCCUGAUGCAGCAACGCCGCGUGAGUGAAGAAGUUUUUCGGUAUGUAAAGCCCUAUCAGUAGGGAAGAAGAAAGACGGUACCUGACUAAGAAGCCCAGGCUAACUACGUGCCAGCAGCUGAGGUAAUACGUAGGGGGCAAGCGUUAUCCGGAUUUACUGGGUGUAAAGGGAGCGUAGACGGCUGUGCAAGUCGGAAGUGAAAGCCCGUGGCUAAACCGCAGAACUGCUUUUGAAACUUUAUAGCUUGAGUACUGGAGAGGCAGGCGGAAUUCCUAGUGUAGCGGUGAAAUGCGUAGAUAUUAGGAGGAACACCAGUGGCGAAGGCGGCCUUCUGGACAGAAACUGACGUUGAGGCUCGAAAGCGUGGGGAGCAAACAGGAUUAGAUACCCUUGUAGUC
rnacentral:rRNA from 1 species